rnacentral:misc_RNA from 1 species
CAACCCUUAAGCCUAGCUUAGUGUUGGGAACUUACGCCUAAGUAAUUCCCUAAAGUCAGUGGCAGAGCUAGAUCAUCUCUCAGCGUAGUAAUUUUAUCUCGCUUUUGUAGAAGGUCUAGUCCUCGCCAUAAGCCUAUAAUUUUUUAUU